rnacentral:rRNA from 1 species
UGAGGAAUAUUGGUCAAUGGGCGGGGAGCCUGAACCAGCCAAGUCGCGUGAGGGAAGACGGUCCUAUGGAUUGUAAACCUCUUUUGUCGGGGAGCAAAGAGGCCACGUGUGGUCAAAAGCGAGAGUACCCGAAGAAAAGCAUCGGCUAACUCCGUGCC